rnacentral:rRNA from 1 species
GACAGAGGGUGCAAACGUUGUUCGGAAUUACUGGGCGUAAAGGGCGCGUAGGCGGCCUUCUAAGUCAGACGUGAAAUCCCCAGGCUUAACUUGGGAACUGCGUCUGAUACUGGGAGGCUUGAGUGCGGGAGAGGGAUGUGGAAUUCCAGGUGUAGCGGUGAAAUGCGUAGAUAUCUGGAGGAACACCGGUGGCGAAGGCGGCAUCCUGGACCGACACUGACGCUGAGGCGCGAAAGCUAGGGGAGCAAACGGG